ensembl:lncRNA
GAUGGCGCAAACAGAUCUGGGACUAGGCUAAAUGACAACAUGGCUUUUGGUUAACACAACAUUCAUGUGCCAAGGCUCUAGGCAACUUCCUGGAGGACCCGCAUACAGUGGUUAACAAGAUGUAAUUGCAAGCUAUAAGUGGUUGAUUGGGAAAGGAGACUAGUCCUAUCUAUUUUUCUAUGGUCUUUCUUAAUUCACUCUUUUGUUGAAAAGGCUUUUGACAAUAGAUGUUAUUAAUAGAUGUCUGUGAUUUUAUUAAAUUGAUAUCUGUCUGCUUUUUAUGUUUCUGGGCUGUGAGCGGUCACGUUUUCAUAGAAAUCUAUUUCCCAAACAUAUUUUAAUUUAUGCAUUCUUUGCAUUUGUAUGGCUGUCUGCUCUGCAGUUGGACCUUUAAUUUUAAUGUUGUAAUUCUAUUUGUAUUUUAUUUGUUAUAUUAUAUAUUUUCCCUGGAUUAUAUCCAUAUGAUCAGAUAAUAUUUUAUGGUUUCUAGAUGUAAGAUAUACUUUCUGCUUUUAAUGCUUUUGUUUUUACUUUAUUUGUGUCUUAUCCAAAAUGCAAGCAGAACAAAUAGCUACCGUGACCAACAGCUAGAAAUGGGUCUUUACUGAUAAAGGUGUGGAUUGUACAAAGACUAGUAGCUAGAGAACUGUUAGACCUAAAAUGUUCAUCUGAACUUAAUGAAUCUGUUGCGUGAGACCGAGGACCAGGAUUCUGUUUUUGUUUAAUCUGGAUCAAGUCAACUCUGACUCAUAAGAACUGUCUAUGCUUUAUUUGUCUUAACUUGCCUCUUAUUAAAAGGUGUUGUGUACAUUACAUGUAAAAUAUCUUCUGGCAUUGUGGGUAUUGCACUUUAACCUUGUUAACAUUUUAUUUACCACUGGAUGCCUUGUUUUUCUUUAGGAAUAAGGAAUUGACAUUGUAUAUCUAGAAUCCUUUAUAUUUAAAACGUUUCCAGGGAAUGUUCCGAUUCAGUACUACCGACAUAAUAACCGACUAUGUUUUGUAACAUCAAGGUUUCUCUUUAUCUUGUGUUAUUGAAAAAAUCAUUUCGAAACACAGUCGACUAAUAUUCUUUCAAAUAAAAUGUACCUGUGUUCAAGGCUCUCUUGUACUG